UUCGCCAUCCUCUGAUUGAGAUGUGUUCUAUUUCUUUUUUAUCAGAAGAGAUGUGUUCGUUGUGUCUGUGUUCUGUGAAUCAUUCUGCGCCUUUAUCUCGGCCUCGGCCUCCACCUCAUCAUUCUCUGCGGUAGAAUGAUGUUCGGAUGCAUCAUCUUCAUUCAAAGAAACAUAUGAAGACAAUAAUUGGAAUCAGUUCUAUCAGCCUACAUUCACUGGAAUCAAAGAAAAACAUCAAGUCCAACAACUUGUAUCGGCGUGCAAGAUUAUAUUAAGUUCUCUCUGAUUUGACAAACUUGUAAGUAAUAAGUUUUGAUUUCCAAUUUUGGCUGAGUGAUUAGACAGUUCAUAAAAAUCAGAUAAGGUGAACAAUAACCAGGUUUACACUCACUGUCUGCCUGAGGUUUGAUGGUCAAUUACCAUAAAAGGAGAGUUUCCUAUGGUUAGGAUAAAGAAACCACUUCAAAGUUGAGAAAAAGUUUCUGCAAUUUUCUCUAAACCUCAAGGGAGGUUAGUGUACUCUUGCCCUUUUACCAUAGUGGUAUUUAGAAAAUUACCAUUUGCCUUCAACUAUUUGUUCAACCAAACUGUUGUAAGAGUAUCAUUUUCCAUUUAACCAUAAUCAGCAAUUUCUGAAGCUCUAAUAACACAAAUCAGCUGAAGCAUCUAAAAGCUAAUUGAUGGGGGGAAAGUCUUUUAAAGUCUAUUCAAGCAGGACAGGGAAGACAUAAAUAAACUUUAAGUAGGAUUAAUAUUAAUUGAAAUUAAAUUAGAAUUAAUAUUAAUGAGAAUUAAAUUAAGAGUAGUAUUUGUUGGAGUCAAAUUAGGAUUAGCUAGUUAGCAUAUAAUAUAAUUAGAAUUAUUGUCAUACUAGGUUAUUAGAAUCCUAGUAGACUUUUAAUUUUAUAGAGAAGCCUAUAAAUAAGGCUAAUCAAUGAAAAUCAAAGUAAUGAAUUGAUUGAUAUUAAUAAUAUGAUGUUUUUUUUAUUGCAAGUGUUACAAUUCUCAAUUGUAAGACUCCAUUGAUUUUCUUCCAGGUGAGACUCCUAGAAAGCCUUAGAGACUUUAAGGUUUCCAUCUUUUCUUCAUCAUUUCUUCUUUCUCUCUAUUUUCAUUUUUAAUUUUAUUUUUUCUCUACCAUAAACUUUAUUCCUUGCUCCUAUCCUUACACCUUAAAAAUAGAAACCUUAGCACACCUACUUUGAGUGUAGGCAACCAUCCUAGGGUUGUAAUACAUCAAUUUUGGUAUUAGAGCGAAAGUUCUUGACUUGAAGGCAUAUGCAAUCGAGAAGCGGAGCAACUUAUGCAAGAACGAGUUCCAAAAAUACUUCUAACAAUUAAGAUGUUGCAACAAUACGCUAGGAGGAAAUUUCAGCCGCACAAUAAUUCCAUCAAGAUGCAAUAAUACAACUAAAUAACAAACUUGAUGAGAUCAUGAAGUUAUUAGAAAAGAGUAAAAAAAAAGGACAAAUUGAAGAUGAGACUGCAAGCCAUCAAUUUAGACAAUCGCCAAAUUGAUCACAUGAAGAACAAGGCAAGUUUAAGAUGAGGAAUCAAAAAAGGGGCAAACUCUUUGAACAAGAUGAUGAUGUGACAAAAAAGGCAUGCCUUGAAGUUGUUGAAUUUUAUGGAAAAUUAAAUCCAACAACUUUUUCUGAUUGGAUUAUGUCAAUGGAAGAUUACUUUGAUUGGUAUGCAAUGCCUGAAAAUAGAAAAAUUCAUUUUGUGAAGGCAAAGUUGAAAGGAGCAACACGUUUAUAACAUCGAGUAUCAACUUCAUAGAACUGGCCAACACCUAUAGACACAAGGGACAAGAUGAAGUUGAAGAUGAAGGAGCACUUUCUCCUAAUUGAUUAUAAACAACUCAUGUUCACAAAAUUGUUUUCCCUUAAACAAUGUACCAAGUCCAUUGAAGAAUAUACAAAAGAAUUCCAUGAAUUGAGCAUUCAAAAUCAAGUACGGGAAAGUGAUGCUCAACUUGCAACCCGUUAUAGAGUUGGCCUUCAAAUAAAGAUUCAACUUGAGAUGAUAGUUGCACACACUUAUACCGUAGAUAAUGUUUAUCAACUAGCCCUUAAAACAAAAGAAGGCCUCAAGUUUUGAGUUUCCAAACGUCUAAGUUCACAAAUUGGGAGCACUUUCUCCAACUGAAUAGCAAGCAAACCUUUAAGCACAUCAAGCUUCAAAACUUCUAAUCAUGCGAAUGGUGGGGGCAACAAUCAACAAACUUCGAAUGUGGCUAAUAAAGAUGGUAAUAAGGGUAAAACUUCAAUGAGUAUUAGAGAUAGAAAAGCAGAUGUGUCCUUUAUGCUUUAAGUGUGAUGGGCAUGGUCAUUAUGCUAUUGUGUGCCCAAGCAAAGGUUUACACUUUUGUGUUGAAGAACCAGAAUCUGAAUUGGAGAGUUACCCAAAGGAAGAAGAGACCCACAACGAAGAUGAACUUAGUGAAGAAUGUGAUUACUAUGAUAGUAUGACAGAAGGACACAGGCUUGUAGUGCGCCCUUUAUUAGCUAUCCCAAAGGUAAAAAGAGAAGAAGAUUAGUGACGUACUACCAUUUUCCAGAUACUUAUUUCUUGCCAAGGGAAGUUACGUACCAUGAUCAUUGAUGGAGGUAGUGGUUUGAACAUAGUUGUGCAAGAGCUUAUUGAGAAGCUAAACCUUAAAAUAAAGAGACAUCCAAAUCCAUUGCAAGUAGCAUGGGAUAGUGACUCCUUUAUUCCGAUAAGUUGUUGCUGCUUGAUUACAUUCCUUUUUGGUAAGGACUUUGAAGAGUCUAUAUGGUGUAAAGUCUUAACAAUAAAAGUAAGUCAUAUUUACUUAGAAGACUUUGGCUUUUUGAUAGAAGAGGUCAGCAUGACAAUUACAAAAAUAAAUAUACUCUCAUACACAAUGGGCGUAAGAAGAUCCUUUGUUCGAAAAGUCCCACCAAUUAAAAAACCAAAGGAUGCACAACCAAAAACGGUGCUUACUAUGUGUCAAUUCGAAAAGGUAUGAGACAAAAUCAAAAUUAGUAAUGAGAACUAUAAGGAGGCAAUAGAAGCACAUUGAAGAUAUAUUCAAUUUCAAGAAGGUGGUCUAGUAAUAGUUCGUCUACGUCCAAAAAGAUUUCAUCCGAGCACAUAUCACAAACUGUAAACUAAGAAAACGGGUCCAGUUUAGGUGCUAAAACGAUUAGGUGAGAAUGUGUAUUUGUUAGAAUUUCCUUCAAAAUUGCAUUUUAGUUCAAUAUUUAAUGGAAGAAUUGUCUGUCUACUAUGGUCAUCAAAACAAGCUAAGUGAAGAAUUGGAUCUUUAAUUGCCACCUAAUCUUAGCCCACGUCUUGAGAUAGAGAAUGUUCUUAAAGAUCAACUUGUGUCUACUCGACAAGGUGGAUACUAUAAAUUUUUAGUGAAAUGGAGAGGCAAACCACACUAUGAAAAUACAUGGAUUACAACAAUAGAUUUUCAGAAGCUUAAGUCUAAUCUCUAUGAAUUUUUUAUUUUUGAUAAGCUAAUCUCUAUGAAUUGUAUCAAGCAUCUAACUCGUCGAAGCUGAGUUCUUUCAAGUUGGGAGGAAUUGAUGGGGAAAAGUCUUUUAAAGUCUAUUCAAGGAGGAAAGAGAAGACAUAAAUAAACUUUAAGUAUAAUUAAUAUUAGUUGGAAUUAAAUUAGAAUUAGUAUUAAUUGGAAUUAAAUUAUGAUUCGUAUUAAUUGGAAUUAAAUUAUGAUUCGUAUUUCUUAGAGUCAAAUUACGAUUAGCUAGUUAGAUUAUAAUAUAAUUUGAAUUAUUGUCAUAAUAGGUUACUAGAAUCCUAGUAGACUUUGGAUAUUAUAAUUAGAAUUAAAAUCAUAAUAAGUUAUUAGAAUCCUAGUAGACUUUGGAUUUCUUAGAGAAACUUAUAAAUAAGGCUAAUUAAUAUAAAUCAAAGUAAUGAAUGGAUUGAUAAUAAUAAUAUUAUGUUUUUUCAUUACAAGUGUUGCAAUCCUCUAUGGUGAGAUUGCAUUAAUUUUCUUCUAAGUGAGAUUCCUUUGAUUUUCUUCCAGGUAAAACUCCUAGAAGGCCUUAGUGAGACUCUAAGGUUUCUAUCUUAUCUUCGUCAUUUCUUCUUUCUCUUUAUUUUUUCUCUACCAUAAACUUUAUUCCUUGUUCUUUUCCUUACACCCUAAAAAUAAAAAUCCUAGCCCACCUACUUUGAGUGUAGGCAACCAUCCUAGGGUCAUCCUACAUCACUAAUGACAUCACACCUUCAUAGACAACAUGUAGAGAAAGAAUCAUUUCACAAUCAAUCUAUAAUUCUCUGAAAUCAAUACACUCAAUUAAAAAGAGAAAUGCUUCAUUAACCUCUAUUUGCUGCAAAAAAAACUGUGCAAAGAGAAAGGGGAAAAAGAAAGAACCUAGACACUCAUGUUUGAUUUUUCUUUUUCUUUUUUUCAAAAUUUUUAGUGAUAAGGAGUAUAUUAAAAUAGAGAAUCAAAUAGUUAUCAAGAGAAGAUCAGCUUCAACUGGCAGACCUGUACACAAGAAAUAAUAAAUAAAGAAGCACUCUGAGAAGCUGGAAAGAUAAAGCUGUCCUUGCUUACUGCGUCAUCAAAAGAUAGAAAUGACCUCUAAACUCCAACAAAAUAAUCUGACCCCUUUGGCUAGACCGUCUACUACUCCAUUACUUAGAGUGCAUUCGGCAGUUUUUUAUUUGAAGUGUUUUCUCUAGAAGUAUUUUUAGGAAAAUCAUCUAUCAAGUAUUUUUCCAAAGAACACUAUAAAUGAUUUUUUAAUACUAAAAGCAAUUUUUCAAAAAAAAGUGUUUCCUGAAUUUUUCCAAACACAUGAUUUUUCUUCAAAAACACUACCAAAUGGACUCUUCCAUCCAAUCACAAGGAACCUCCUAAGUGAAGGACCUCUUGCAUGAAAUGGGAUCUUAGCUACAAACCAGAAAACAAUUACCUGCUACCAAACGCUGCCUCAACACCAACACAAGGUUAGCAGAUACUUUGCCAUCACUAUAAGGUCAGCCAACAGAUUGCCAAGAGUACCCAGCAAUCAACUUUUAGAAUUCAGCUCCGCUCAACCCCAGUGAAGAAUGUUUCCAUUUAUUGACUAAAUCACAGGCUAAAAUCAUCAUUAUUAUUUUUUUUAUAUAUAAUUGAGGAACCUUCCAUGGCUGAACCCUUCAGACUCUCCAUGGGAUCCAAACCUCGGGUUCUGAGUGCCCACCACAAGGACUCCAACCACACCUUGCCCUUGCUUUUCUGGUUUGUUUGGAACCAACCACACUUUGCUUGCUUGUUUGGAAAAAUAGAAUUUAAAGAACUUUUCGAACAAAAUAAAUGAUCUUUAACUCCCUUUAUUCCAUGUUUUAUCUUUAAAGAACUUUUCAAACAAAAUAAAUGAUCUCUAACUCCCUUUAUUUCAAUGUUUUAUCUUCCAAAUCUUUUUGUAUGGGAAAAGUUUAACUGCAAUGCCUUGGAAACCAAAAUCAGCACAAAUAUAGGCAAUACUUUUGUUGAAUAUAAUGUAUGUAUAGUAUACUAUCUUUCCUUGUUAAUAUAGGUCACAUGUAUGGUAGUUAGGACUCCUAGCCUUGUAUAUAUAUAUCUCUCAAUUGUAAGUAGAGAUUACAAUGAAUGUGAAUAAGGUUUUUCUCCUUUCUCUCUCUCUCUCUCAACAUGGUAUCAGAGCCAAGGAAGAAAACCUAAUUCUUUCCUGUUUUCCGUAUCAUCAACUCCGGGAAACCUUCCGGUGACCGUGUUUCUUUCCGGUCACCUUCCCCAUCUCCCAAUACUUUCCGGUCAGUCGGAUCGUCAUUAGAAACCACUCACCGCUGGCAAAUUUUCCGGCGAACUUUCCGGCGAACUUUCCGGCGAACUUUCCGGCGAACUUUCCGGCGAAAUUUUCCGGCGACCUAUUUUUCCGACACCGACCAUACCAGAAGGAGCGCCUGGAGGAGAUCUCCAACUUUUGUGAAGGCACCAGCACCAAAAGAGCAGCCACGCGCCGGCCAUGCGCAAUUUUCCGGCCGGCGGUUGAAUCUCACGCGCCGGCGCGUGGGGGCGCGUGAGAGCUUUUCCGGCGACGCGCCUCCUCCUCCAGCUUCGCCUGACGCCGAUCAGCCUUCCCACCUCCCUGGUUCUCCCAUCCGAGCCCUGCACGUACCUCUUUUGGGGAUUUUUGUCUCCGUCGGCCCUCCAAACAGUCUUUCCGGCGAAGCUCCGACCACUUUUUCUCCACUCCAAUCCCUGCACGUGCCUUGGGAAGUGUUCUUCUCCCUUUCUGGUGGUACCACACCGCGAUCUGAGGCCGUCUCCCUUUUUCGGUGGUGCCACGCUGCAAUCUGAAGCCGUAUUAGGGCUCUCUUCGAUCCAAACAUACUUCAUUCUCCAGAUAAGUGGAUAUGGCUACUAAAGCUUCCAUUUUUUCCUCUGUCAUAUCUGGAUCUCCUAUGAUUACUUCGGAGAAAUUAGUUGGGAGUGAAAAUUAUCUUUCCUGGUCUGCCUCUGUUGAACUUUGGUUUAUGGGUCAAGGAUAUGAGGAUCACUUGAUUACACAGGAGACAGAUAUCCCUGAGGUCGACCGCGUACAGUGGAGGAAGAUAGAUGCACAGUUGUGUAGUGUAUUAUGGCAAUCGGUUGAUCCCCGAAUUCUUCUUCAUCUUCAGGCCUAUAAAACUUGUUUUAAAUUUUGGACUCAGGCCAAAGGAUUAUACACGAAUGAUAUCCAGCGUCUUUAUAAGGUGGCUUCUGCUAUUGUCCAUCUCAGCCAACAGGACUUGGAUCUAUCUACUUAUAUUGGCCAGAUUGCCUCUCUUAAGGAGCAGUUCUUGACUGUGAUGCCUCUUACUCCUGAUGUUGGGGCUCAACAAACACAGCUUGACAAGUUCUUCAUGGUCCUUACUCUUAUCGGCCUCCGUCCGGAUCUUGAGCCUAUUCGUGAUCAGAUUCUUGGUAGUUCAUCAGUUCCGUCCUUGGAUGAUGUGUUUGCUCGCCUCCUCCGUAUCUCGUCCACUCAGACUUUGCCAUCUGAUAGCGCUUCAGAUUCUUCUGUGUUAGUUUCUCAAACUACCUCUCGAGGAGGACGCAGUGGUACCCGAGGUAGAGGCCAACGUCCUCAUUGCACCUAUUGCAAUAAACUUGGCCACACUCGCGAUCGUUGCUAUCAGUUACAUGGAAGACCUCCUCGCACUGCCCAUAUGGCCCAGUCCUCUGAUUCUCCGCUGCCUCAGCCUCCGAGCUCCUCCGCAUCUCAGACAUCUCAGGCUUCUAUUGCCUCUGUUGCCCAGCCUGGUAAUGCCUCUGCCUGCCUUACCCACACAUCUUCUCUUGGACCCUGGAUUCUAGAUUCUGGAGCAUCUGAUCACCUAUCUGGUAAUAAGGAUCUUUUCUCCUCUAUUACUACUACCUCUGAUUUACCUACUGUUACCUUAGCUAAUGGUUCUCAAACUGUGGCUAAAGGUAUUGGUUUGGCCCUUCCUUUGCCUUCUCUACCUCUCACUUCUGUCCUUUAUACUCCUGAAUGUCCUUUUAAUCUUAUUUCCAUCAGCAAAAUCACUCAUACUCUUAAUUGCUCUAUUACCUUUUCUGAUAAAUUUGUGACCUUGCAGGACCGGAGUACGGGGAAGACGAUUGGCAUAGGACGUGAGUCUCAAGGCCUCUAUCACCUCACCUCAGAUUCAUCUCCUGCAGUUUGCAUUUCCACUGAUGCUCCUCUCCUCAUUCACAAUCGUCUGGGCCACCCUAGUCUCUCCAAGUUCCAGAAGAUGGUUCCUCGUUUUUCCACUUUGUCGUCGCUUCCGUGUGAGUCAUGUCAGCUUGGGAAACAUACUCGUGUCUCGUUCCCAAAGCGUUUGAAUAAUCGGGCAAAGUCUCCUUUUGAGCUUGUCCACACUGAUGUUUGGGGUCCUUGUCGGACUGCGUCUACUUUAGGAUUUCAGUAUUUUGUCACUUUCAUUGAUGACUAUUCUCGAUGUACUUGGUUAUUCUUAAUGAAAAAUCGAGCUGAGUUAUUCUCUAUUUUCCAGAAAUUUUAUACUGAAAUCCAAACCCAGUUCAAUAUUUCUAUUCGUGUGUUACGCAGUGACAAUGCCAGGGAAUAUUUUUCAGCCCAAUUUACUUCGUUUAUGUCUCAUCAUGGGAUUCUUCAUCAGUCUUCUUGUGCUCAUACUCCUCAACAAAAUGGGGUAGCUGAACGCAAGAAUCGACAUCUUGUUGAGACAGCUCGUACUCUCCUCCUCCAUAAUCAUGUUCCUUUUCGUUUUUGGGGGGACGCUGUUCUUACCGCUUGUUAUUUGAUUAAUCGUAUGCCCUCCUCUGUCUUACACGAUCAGAUUCCUCACUCCCUUCUUUUCCCUGACCAACCACUUUAUUUCCUUCCUCCUCGUGUCUUUGGUUGUACUUGCUUUGUUCAUAUUCUCACUCCUGGACAGGACAAGCUUUCUGCCAAAGCCAUGAAGUGCCUCUUCUUGGGAUAUUCCAGACUUCAGAAGGGUUAUCGUUGUUAUUCCCUUGAGACUCAUCGGUACUUUAUCUCCGCUGAUGUCACCUUCUUUGAGGACUCACCAUUCUUUUCCACCACUUUUGAGUCUCUUCCUGUUUCUGAAGUCUUGCCCAUUCCCAUUGUCUCCCCACCUGAUGCUAUGCCCCCUCGACCACUUCAGGUUUAUCAUCGUCGCCCUCGUGUCGUUGCUCCUCUCCCUUUUCCUGAGGCACCUGCUGACUCACUUCCUAUCCCUUCGGCUUCACCUGCCCCGGCUCUGCCUUCUCCUCAUGACUUACCCAUUGCUGUUCGGAAAGGUAUUCGCUCUACUCGUAAUCCUCAUCCUAUUUACAAUUUUUUGAGUUAUCAUCGAUUAUCUUCACCCUAUUCUGCUUUUGUUUCUGCUAUAUCCUCUGUUUCUCUUCCAAAGAGCACCCAUGAAGCUCUUUCCCAUCCAGGCUGGCGACAGGCAAUGGUGGAUGAAAUGGCUGCUCUGCACUCUAAUGGCACUUGGGAUCUUGUUGUUUUACCCUCUGGUAAAUCUACAGUUGGUUGUCGUUGGGUCUAUGCAGUUAAGGUUGGUCCUGAUGGUCAGGUUGAUCGCCUUAAGGCCCGCUUAGUUGCUAAAGGCUAUACUCAAGUUUAUGGUUCUGAUUAUGGUGACACAUUCUCCCCUGUUGCCAAGAUUGCUUCUGUCCGCUUGCUUCUGUCCAUGGCUGCUAUGUGUUCUUGGCCUCUUUAUCAGUUGGAUAUUAAAAAUGCCUUCCUUCAUGGUGAUCUUGCUGAGGAAGUUUAUAUGGAGCAACCUCCUGGUUUUGUUGCUCAGGGGGAGUCUGGUUUAGUGUGCAGGUUACGCCGCUCUCUAUAUGGCUUGAAACAAUCUCCUCGAGCAUGGUUUAGCCGUUUUAGUUCUGUUGUUCAAGAGUUUGGCAUGCUUCGCAGUACAGCAGACCAUUCAGUUUUUUAUCAUCAUAACUCCUUGGGGCAGUGUAUUUAUCUGGUUGUUUAUGUGGACGACAUCGUCAUUACAGGCAAUGAUCAGGAUGGUAUUCAGAAACUAAAGCAACAUCUUUUUACCCACUUUCAGACCAAAGACUUGGGGAAACUCAAGUAUUUCUUGGGAAUUGAGAUAGCUCAAUCCAGUUCUGGUGUGGUCCUUUCCCAAAGGAAGUAUGCUUUAGACAUCCUGGAAGAAACCGGUAUAUUAGACUGUAAACCGGUAGACACACCUAUGGAUCCGAAUGUCAAACUUGUACCAGGACAGGGGGAGCCUUUAGGAGACCCCGGGAGAUAUCGACGGCUCGUAGGUAAAUUGAACUAUCUCACCAUUACUCGUCCAGACAUUUCUUUUCCUGUGAGUGUGGUUAGUCAAUUCCUACAGUCACCAUGUGAUAGCCAUUGGGAUGCCGUAAUCCGUAUUCUUCGAUAUAUCAAAAGUACACCAGGCCAAGGUGUAUUGUACGAGAACAGAGGUCAUACUCAAGUUGUUGGUUACACAGAUGCAGAUUGGGCUGGCUCACCCACAGAUAGACGUUCCACUUCAGGGUACUGUGUUUUUAUUGGAGGUAAUCUAAUAUCUUGGAAGAGUAAGAAACAAGAUGUAGUGGCCAGAUCUAGCGCUGAAGCCGAGUAUCGAGCUAUGGCUUUGGCAACAUGUGAACUCAUAUGGUUGAGACAUCUUCUUCAGGAGUUGAGAUUUGGAAAGGAUGAACAGAUGAAACUCAUCUGUGAUAACCAGGCCGCAUUACAUAUUGCAUCCAAUCCAGUCUUUCAUGAAAGGACCAAGCAUAUUGAAGUUGACUGUCAUUUCAUUAGAGAGAAGAUCGCAUCAGGAUGUGUUGCUACAAGUUUUGUCAAUUCAAAUGAUCAACUAGCAGACAUCUUCACUAAAUCUCUCAGAGGUCCUAGGAUUAAAUAUAUUUGUAACAAGCUUGGUGCAUAUGACGUAUAUGCUCCAGCUUGAGGGGGAGUGUUGAAUAUAAUGUAUGUAUAGUAUACUAUCUUUCCUUGUUAAUAUAAGUCACAUGUAUGGUAGUUAGGACUCCUAGCCUUGUAUAUAUAUAUCUCUCAAUUGUAAGUAGAGAUUACAAUGAAUGUGAAUAAGGUUUUUCUCCUUUCUCUCUCUCUCUCUCUCUCAACAACUUUCAACGUUAUAUCAAACUGAAAUAGCAAAUACUAUUUUCACAUGUUGGAUAAAUAGAAUAUACUCCAUGCAGAAUUAACCAUUUCCUCCGUGGGAUAAGAUCAAAAAUCUAUUUUUUUUCUUUUCUUUUCCUCAAUUUUCUCAGCAAGCAAACAAAGUACAGAUACAAAUUUCACCACACCAUGAAUAAAAUAAGCAGAUAAAGGCUAUCCCUUGACCGCAGAGACUGCAACGAAAUUUCAUCACUUUGCGCCCCCAUUUUGCUUUGUCUGUUGUUUCUUAGUUUCUAUGGAAAAUAGAGCUCAAAAAACUAUCUAAUAAAAGAAAUUUUCUUUUUGUCCAUUCGUUUCAAGUUUUAUCCUCCAAGGAAAAAAAAUUAUCUUCUUUCCUCAACUUUCUCAGAGACCAAACAGCACAAACAUAACCCAAACAUUCAGCAUCAGAACAAACUAAAGACCAUUCACAAAUGCGGCAUAAACACAACUCCAUGUCAAUAGAAUAACAUCAAACCCAACACUCGGCAACCAAACUGAGUGCAUAAAGAAAUUCACCAUACCUUGAAUGAAGUAAGAGGGCGACGGCCAUCCACGAACGGCGGUAACCGCCAAGGCAUCCUCCACCGACAUCUCCCUAGCUAAUUUUCCCAUGCAUUUCAGAAGAUCAAAUUGACGGCGACUUGGGGGCACCCAAUAUGACGAUCCAGGGAUGAAAGGAAGCCAAUCGGGAGCCAAUCUCUGGGCGAUGAUGCGAUGGAUGGCGUCCUCCAGUCUUCGGAUGCCCAUGACUUCGACGUCCCCGCUCUCCGAUUCGAGGUUGAUCUCGAUUAGCUGGGCUUUGCCGGACCGGUUGGAGCGGUGCCGGACGGUGAGGACGCUGAUCAACGGUGGGGGUUUGCAGGAGGGCGAUAGGGAGAGUCUGGUUAGGGUUAGGGUUUGGAAUAGGACUCGAGCCAUAGAGAGGGAUGAUUUUGCAGAAAUUGCAGAAAUUGCAGAUAGAAAUUGCACAGGAGGAAAGGCGGUCAUAAACAGCGGCUCUCGCUUAAG
rnacentral:lncRNA from 1 species